rnacentral:rRNA from 1 species
UACGUAGGGCGCGAGCGUUGUCCGGAAUUAUUGGGCGUAAAGAGCUCGUAGGCGGCUUGUUGCGUCUGCUGUGAAAUCCCGGGGCUUAACCCCGGGCGUGCAGUGGAUACGGGCAGGCUGGAGGCAGGCAGGGGAGAAUGGAAUUCCCGGUGUAGCGGUGAAAUGCGCAGAUAUCGGGAGGAACACCGGUGGCGAAGGCGGUUCUCUGGGCCUGUUCUGACGCUGAGGAGCGAAAGCGUGGGGAGCGAACGGG